CACAUAUGGAGAUAUAUGCUCCAACACCUUAUAAACCCGAACAGAUGUAGUACACGACACUAUGUCAGUGUAAAGGACUGCUUUUGUACAUCUCCUGAACGGAGGCAGGCAGCAGGCAGCGCCGCACUAGCGGCGCGGCGGCACGGGGCCGGCGGCUAACUGGGGCGGCGCGGCAGCACGGGGGCCGACAGUCAACUCAACCAAUUGAUCACAAUUUUCCACCAAAUAAAGAUGAAAGGUGCUUUCGGCCAACAUGGUAUAAGGACUUUGAUUGGUUGGAAUAUGGUGUAGAAAAGGAAAAGGCUCACUGCUUUGAUUGUUUUGUUUUUAAGCAUGAUCGAAUGGAUGAUAAAUUUGGUUAUGAGGUUUUCUCCAAAUCGGGGUAAGACAAUUGGAAAAAUGCAGUUGCAGCAUUUCGUAAACAUGUUGGUGGGUCAUGUAGCAUCCACAAUAUUUCAAGGACAACAAGUGAUGAUUUCAAGACUCAAAAGGCAAGUUUGAAAAGUAAAGUAACAACUUACAACAAAGGCUCACUCGAGAAAUAUGGAACUCAUGUAGACACAUCUUUGGGCAUUGUAAGUUAUCUUGCAUUACAAGGUGAACCAUUUCGUGGACAUGAUGAAUCCACUACUUCUUUGAACAACGGAAAUUUUUAGAGUUACUUGAUUGGGUAAAGUUGCUACCUUCUGACCAUGAGGUCUUGGGUUCAAGUCCUGGAAAUAGCCUCUUGCAGAAAUGUAGGGAAAGGCUGCGUACAAUAGACCCAAAGUGGUUGGACACUUUCCGGGACCCUACGCAAGCGGGAGCUACAUGCAGCGGGCUGUCCCUUUUUUUUACUUGAUUGGGUCAAAGAAAGGAAUCCAAAAGUGAAGGUUGCAUUUGAUGAGCUAUGUCCUAAAAAUGUCAAAAUGUCUUCUGGAGUCAUUCAAAAAGCGCUUGCUAAGCAUUGUGCAAUGGCAGUCACCAAAGCAAUCAAAGAAGAGAUGGAUGGUUGCCUUCUCUCUGUUCUUAUUGAUGAGUGUCGUGAUAUUUCGGUGAAAGAACAAAUGGCCGUGGUUGUGAGGUUCAUGUUAGUAUUUUAAGUAGUUUUGAGUUUGUUCUAUGUAGAAUAAUAUGGUGAGUCAACUAAUUGUAUGAUUUUCAUGUAGGUUUUUGAGAAAAAAAGAGAGACCAUGGAAAGGUUUUUGGGCAUUAAGCAUGUUCCACACACAACAUCAACAUCUUUGAAGAAGUCAUUAUUGAAGGUUUUUGCUAAGCAUGGUGUGCUUGUUGCAAGACUACGAGGGCAAGGGCAAUGUCAUUGGUUAUGGACGUGAGAACAUGUUUGAUCAAUUGGAGAAAUGAUGGUUGGGAGACACUCUUGGAAGAUGUUAAAGCAUUUUGCACCAAAGAUGACAUUCCAAUACCAAAUAUGGAUGACAUGUUUACAAAAUGGGGGAAAUCAAGAAAAGGUGGAAGAAACAAUAUCACUGCUGGUCAUUUUUUCGUGUGGACACCUAUGUUGCUAUAGACUCCGUCACUACAGAGUUUGAUCAUCGUUUCAAUGAGGUAUCUUCAGAACUGCUCCAAAACUUCUCUUGUCUUGACCCAAGAAACUCCUUUUCUAGGUUCAAUGUGGUUAAGCUUGCAUGACUCACAGAGAUUUAUCGUGUUGAUUUAUCUAAUUAUGAAUGUGAACACAUAGAAGAUAACCUUGAGC